AAAAAAUAAUGGAUGUGGUGUUUGGAGAUGAGAAAACAAAAGAGAUACAAAAGUGCUAAAGCUACAAUAGAAUGAUAUAUAUUAUAGCAUGAGUAAUAAAUCAAAAUCAACCAUCUAUCAGAAGUUGAGUAUGCAUACAACAUGCAGUAUUAUAUUUAUUGCAUCCAAUGCACCAUAUUGGAACAACUCAUUCAGAGUAUUAGGCAAUGCAGAUAAGUUUUUUCAUGCAAGAAGGAAAAUUUCAUUUUUGUCAUCUUGAUUUCUCAUUAUCACAAUGGAGCUAAACACCUAAGCUCACAGGAAAAAACUAAUGAAACCGAAAAAAUUACAAUAUUUUUCUUAAUUCAGCCAAUUGAAUGAACAUAUUCCACACAUACACACAUACAUACAUAUAAGAGCAGACAAG
rnacentral:misc_RNA from 1 species